rnacentral:rRNA from 1 species
GACGUACGCUGGCGGCGUGCUUAACACAUGCAAGUCGAGCGGAAAGGCCACUUCGGUGGUACUCGAGCGGCGAACGGGUGAGUAACACGUGAGUAAUCUGCCCCUCACUUUGGGAUAGCCACCGGAAACGGUGAUUAAUACCGGAUAUGACCAUAUGUCGCAUGGCGUGUGGUGGAAAGUUUUUCGGUGAGGGAUGUGCUCGCGGCCUAUCAGCUUGAUGGUGAGGUAAUGGCUCACCAUGGCUUCGACGGGUAGCCGGCCUGAGAGGGUGACCGGUCACACUGGGACUGAGACACGGCCCAGACUCCUACGGGAGGCAGCAGUGGGGAAUAUUGGACAAUGGGCGGAAGCCUGAUCCAGCAACGCCGCGUGAGGGAUGACGGCCUUCGGGUUGUAAACCUCUUUCAGUACCGACGAAGCGCAAGUGACGGUAGGUACAGAAGAAGCACCGGCCAACUACGUG